CGUCGAUGAAGAUGGAGGAGGGUCGAAGCCAUCAUCCAUCCAUCUGCAAUUUACCACCAUUUGGAGAAAGGAAAGCGAAAGAUUUCUGCAAUAAAUGACGGCAUUUUUUAUGGCCCCCUCGGUGCUUGGUAAGACGAAGAAGCAAGGCAGGAAGGGACCAUGCGGCGGUCACUCAUCUCGGCUGCAACUUGUGCUGGUUGCAGGCAUUAUUAUUUACCUCUCUGGCUAUCUCAUGUUAGUUGCACUUUGAGAGAGCUCACUCCCUUCACCUUGACAUUACUCUUUCUCUUGCAUACAAACAAACCAGCAUUCUUUGAAGCAGCAGUGACUAGAUAGAUAUUAGGGUUGCCCAUACAAACAAUUAUUGGUAGGAUGGGCAGCAAAAGAGUUGGGGAUAGGGUCAGGUAUCAUCAGACAAGGGAACAUGGGCAUAUGGCACUAAAAUAAAGCCGGUCGCGACUUGAUCUUGUCCCUGUAAUCUUCCUCCUACGGCAGUCCCACGAUAUGUCGUUCUCACAAUUUGUAUUUAAGGUGAUGUACACGAUUUUACCUUCAUAAUUCUGUAACUCGUAAUGUCAUUAUUAUCAUUAACAUAUAGACCAUGCCAAGGGUCACUUCUUUGAA